rfam:Triticum aestivum genome assembly, contig: Triticum_aestivum_CS42_TGACv1_scaffold_474214_6AL
AUUGUACUCCCUCCGUCACAAAAGUCUUGUCUUAAAUUUUUCUAAAUACGGAUGUAUCAAGUCACGUUUUAGUAUUAGAUACAUCCGUAUCUAGACAAAUCUAAGACAAGAAUUGUGGGACGGAGGGAGUAUGUA